rnacentral:rRNA from 1 species
AGUGAACGCUGGCGGUAGGCCUAACACAUGCAAGUCGAACGGCAGCACAGUAAGAGCUUGCUCUUACGGGUGGCGAGUGGCGGACGGGUGAGGAAUACAUCGGAAUCUACUUUUUCGUAGGGGAUAACGUAGGGAAACUUACGCUAAUACCGCAUACGACCUACGGGUGAAAGCAGGGGAUCUUCGGACCUUGCGCGAUUGAAUGAGCCGAUGUCGGAUUAGCUAGUUGGCGGGGUAAAGGCCCACCAAGGCGACGAUCCGUAGCUGGUCUGAGAGGAUGAUCAGCCACACUGGAACUGAGACACGGUCCAGACUCCUACGGGAGGCAGCAGUGGGGAAUAUUGGACAAUGGGCGCAAGCCUGAUCCAGCCAUACCGCGUGGGUGAAGAAGGCCUUCGGGUUGAAAAGCCCUUUUGUUGGGAAAGAAAAGCAGCAGGUUAAUACCCCGCUGUUCUGACGGUACCCAAAGAAUAAGCACCGGCUAACUUCGUG